rnacentral:rRNA from 1 species
CAGCAGCCGCGGUAAUACGUAGGUGGCAAGCGUUGUCCGGAAUUAUUGGGCGUAAAGCGAGCGCAGGCGGUUAGAUAAGUCUGAAGUUAAAGGCUGUGGCUUAACCAUAGUACGCUUUGGAAACUGUUUAACUUGAGUGCAAGAGGGGAGAGUGGAAUUCCAUGUGUAGCGGUGAAAUGCGUAGAUAUAUGGAGGAACACCGGUGGCGAAAGCGGCUCCCUGGCUUGUAACUGACGCUGAGGCUCGAAAGCGUGGGGAGCAAACAGGAUUAGAGACCCCAGUAGUCCCUGUCUCUUAUACA